UACGUAGGGGGCAAGCGUUGUCCGGAUUUAUUGGGCGUAAAGAGCGUGUAGGCGGCCAAGCAGGUCAGCUGUGAAAACUCGAGGCUCAACCUCGAGACGUCGGCGGAAACCAUCUGGCUAGAGUCCGGAAGAGGAGAGUGGAAUUCCUGGUGUAGCGGUGAAAUGCGCAGAUAUCAGGAAGAACACCCGUGGCGAAGGCGGCUCUCUGGGACGGUACUGACGCUGAGACGCGAAAGCGUGGGGAGCGAACAGG
rnacentral:rRNA from 1 species